rnacentral:rRNA from 1 species
AUAUCAAUAAGCGGAGGAAAAGAAACUAACAAGUAUUCCCCCAGUAACGGCGAGUGAAGCGGGAGAAGCUCAAUUUGAAAAUCGACUACCUAAACGGGUCGUCGAAUUGUAGCCUAUAGACGUACUAUCAGCUGAAACCUGGGUAUAAGUUCUUUGGAAUGAGGCAUCAUAGAGGGUGAGAAUCCCGUGUAUGACCCAAAGCUUUCAGCGUACGAUGUAUGUUCCUCGAGUCGAGUUGUUUGGGAUUGCAGCUCUAAAUGGGUCGUAAGUUUGAUCUAAAGCUAAAUAAUGGCGAGAGACCGAUAGCGCACAAGUA